UACGUAGGGAGCGAGCGUUGUCCGGAAUUACUGGGCGUAAAGGGUGCGUAGGCGGCAAAGCAAGUCAGAUGUGAAAUCCCCGGGCUUAACUCGGGGGGUGCAUUUGAAACUGCAUUGCUUGAGUGCAGGAGAGGAAAGCGGAAUUCCUAGUGUAGCGGUGAAAUGCGUAGAUAUUAGGAAGAACACCAGUGGCGAAGGCGGCUUUCUGGACUGUAACUGACGCUGAGGCACGAAAGCGUGGGGAGCAAACAGGAUUAGAUACCCUGGUAGUCCACGCUGUAAACGAUGGAUACUAGGUGUGGGGGACAUACAACCUCUGUGCCGGAGCAAACGCAAUAAGUAUCCCGCCUGGGGAGUACGGCCGCAAGGCUGAA
rnacentral:rRNA from 1 species